UACUCCAACCCCUGUGACAUACCACUUGUUGCCUCGGCGGAUCAGCCCGCUCCCGGUAAAACGGGACGGCCCGCCAGAGGACCCCUAAAACUCUGUUUCUAUAUGUAACUUCUGAGUAAAACCAUAAAUAAAUCAAAACUUUCAACAACGGAUCUCUUGGUUCUGGCAUCGAUGAAGAACGCAGCAAAAUGCGAUAAGUAAUGUGAAUUGCAGAAUUCAGUGAAUCAUCGAAUCUUUGAACGCACAUUGCGCCCGCCAGUAUUCUGGCGGGCAUGCCUGUUCGAGCGUCAUUUCAACCCUCAAGCACAGCUUGGUGUUGGGACUCGCGUUAAUUCGCGUUCCUCAAAUUGAUUGGCGGUCACGUCGAGCUUCCAUAGCGUAGUAGUAAAACCCUCGUUACUGGUAAUCGUCGCGGCCACGCCGUUAAACCCCAACUUCUGAAUGUUGACCUCGGAUCAGGUAGGAAUACCCGCUGAACUUAAGCAUAUCAAUAAGCGGAGGAAAAGAAAAUUCUCU
rnacentral:rRNA from 1 species